rnacentral:rRNA from 1 species
AGAGGUUGAUCAUGGCUCAGAACGAACGGUGGCGGCGUGCUUAAUACAUGCAAGUCGAGCGUGAAACGGGCAACUGAUGGAAAGUGGCGAACGGGUGAGUAACACGUAAGUAAUCUGCCUUUAAGAUCGGGAUAACCUUGCCAACGCGGGGCUAAUACCGGAUGUGAUCAUUGAGACGCAUGUUUUAGUGAUUGAAGGAUGAUCCGCUUAGAGAUGAACUUGCGGCCCAUUAGCUAGUUGGUGAGGUAAAGGCCCACCAAGGCAACGAUGGGUAGCCGGCCUGAGAGGGUGUACGGCCACAUUGGGACUGAGAUACGGCCCAGACUCCUACGGGAGGCAGCAGUAGGGAAUUUUGCGCAAUGGACGAAAGUCUGACGCAGCAACGCCGCGUGAGGGAUGAAGGUCUUCGGAUUGUAAACCUCUGUUGAAUGGGAAAAAAUGAUGGUACCAUUUGAGGAAGCACCGGCUAACUACGUGCCAGCAGCCGCGGUAAUACGUAGGGUGCAAGCGUUGUUCGGAAUCACUGGGCGUAAAGAGAGCGUAGGCGGAGUCGUAAGUUAGGAGUUUAAUACAUGGGCUUAACCCGUGGCUGGCUUUUAAUACUGCGAUUUUUGAGUAUGGGAGAGGGCGAUGGAAUUCCAGGUGUAGCGGUGGAAUGCGUAGAUAUCUGGAAGAACACCAGUAGCGAAGGCGGUCGCCUGGCCUAAUACUGACGCUGAGGCUCGAAAGCUAGGGGAGCAAACAGGAUUAGAUACCCUGGUAGUCCCAGCCGUAAACGAUGACUAGUUGC